rnacentral:misc_RNA from 1 species
AACGCACAUUGCGCCCCUUGGUAUUCCGAGGGGCAUGCCUAUUCGAGCGUCAUUAUCACCCCUCAAGCCUAGCUUGGUGUUGAGGCCUGCUGUAAGGGCAGCCUCUAAAAUCAGUGGCAGUGCUGUCAGGCUCUAAGCGUAGUAAAAUUCAUCGCUAUAGACACCUGGUGGACACUCGCCAGAACCCCCCCAUUUUUUAAUGAUUGACCUCGGAUUAGGUAGGGAUACCCGCUGAACUUAA